rnacentral:rRNA from 1 species
GGCCUUGACAUACUAAGAACUUUCCAGAGAUGGAUUGGUGCCUUCGGGAACUUAGAUACAGGUGCUGCAUGGCUGUCGUCAGCUCGUGUCGUGAGAUGUUGGGUUAAGUCCCGCAACGAGCGCAACCCUUUUCCUUAUUUGCCAGCGGGUCAUGCCGGGAACUUUAAGGAUACUGCCAGUGACAAACUGGAGGAAGGCGGGGACGACGUCAAGUCAUCAUGGCCCUUACGGCCAGGGCUACACACGUGCUACAAUGGUCGGUACAAAGGGUUGCUACCUCGCGAGAGGAUGCUAAUCUCAAAAAGCCGAUCGUAGUCCGUAUCGCAGUCUGCAACUCGACUGCGUGAAGUCGGAAUCGCUAGUAAUCGCGGAUCAGAAUGCCGCGGUGAAUACGUUCCCGGGCCUUGUACACACCGCCCGUCACACCAUGGGAGUUUGUUGCACCAGAAGUAGGUAGUCUAACCGCAAGGAGGACGCUUACCACGGUGUGGCCGAUGACUGGGGUGAAGUCGUAACAAGGUAAGCGUAGAUGA